ensembl:lncRNA
UGCGCAGUAGCGGCACAAGCCACGAGAGGAGGAGGAUGUGGAAACCGAAGCCUUGAUGAGUCACUGUGAUGGUGCACAUGAAACGCAGGAGCAGGAAUAGAUAGCAACCAUUCACAGCAGAGACAUUCAUUGAGAUAAAACACGAUUCUGAUUUCUAAAUCCAAACACUGGUUCCUUUACAUUUAGGAAAUUUCACAUCUGCUUUUAUCCACAAUCACACAGAUUUUGUAAACUCGUUCUUAGUUCUGGUGUUGAACAUGAACACAGUGUCAUGGAUAAAAUGCAUGAAUGUACAUCGAAUUGAAAAGACAAUUAAAGAAACAUGUUCACGCAAAAAUUAUGAUUUGCUUUGCUUUAGAUUUGGAGAAAUGUAGCAUUGCAUCAGUGUCUCAGCAAUGGAUGCUCUGCAGUGAAUGGGUGCCGUCAGAAUGAGAGUCCAAGCAGCUGAUAAAAACAUCACAAUAAUCCACAAGUAAUCCACAGCACUCCAGUCCAUCAGUUAACAUCUGGAGAAGACAAAACUGAAACAAAUUCAUCAACAUGCAUGUUUUAAAUAAAAAUCUGAGUCCAUGAUACCAACACUUCCUUCAGUAAAAAAGUCCAUCUCCUGUUGUCUCUCACAUCAAAAUCCACACACAUAUUAGUUUAGGGCUGUUUGAUCUGUGCAGAUUUCUCUCCUGAUUCAGACCAGACCCCUUUUUCACUAGAUGAAGCGUUAUUAUGGACUCAUUUUUUAGCUAAAAACAUCUUAAUGCUGGAUUUGUCUUCUCCAGAUGUUAACUGAUGGACUGGAGUGCUGUGGAUUACUUGUGGAUUAUUGUGAUGUUUUUAUCAGCUGUUUGGACUCUCAUUCUGACGGCACCCAUUCACUGCAGAGCAUCCAAGAUGUAGAUGAGUUUGUUUCUUCAUCAGGUUUGUAGAAAUGUAGCACUGCAUCAGUGUCUCAGCAAUGGAUGCUCUGCAGUGAAUGGGUGCCGUCAGAAUGAGAGUCCAAACAGCUGAUAAAAACAUCACAAUAAUCCACAAGUAAUCCACAGCACUCCAGUCCAUCAGAUAACAUCUGGAGAAGACACAAGCUGAAACAAAUCCAGCAUUAAGAUGUUUUUAACUUCAAACCAUUGCUUCUGGCCAAAACAUGAGCCCAUAAUCCAUAAUAAUGCAUUCCUUUGUGUUUUAAAUAUGUCAGAUGUUUCGUUGAGAAGGAAGAACAAAAUGAUUUUCUUUCUUUUUUAAUAUAAUUAAA